UGCCAGCCGCCGCGGUAAUACGGAGGGUGCAAGCGUUAUCCGGAUUUAUUGGGUUUAAAGGGUCCGCAGGCGGACUUGUAAGUCAGUGGUGAAAGCCUUCAGCUUAACUGGAGAACUGCCAUUGAUACUGCUAGUCUUGAGUUCGGUUGAAGUGGGCGGAAUAUGUGGUGUAGCGGUGAAAUGCAAAGAUAUCACAUAGAACACCUAUUGCGAAGGCAGCUCACUAAGCCGAUACUGACGCUCAGGGACGAAAGCGUGGGGAGCGAACAGGAUUAGAUA
rnacentral:rRNA from 1 species